rnacentral:rRNA from 1 species
GAUAAAAUGUAAAUUGUCUCCCUUCUUUGUUCAUACAUCCUGUUUUGUAUUUCACGUAGUGUAGUUUCUGUGCGUGUUUGCACACACACACAUAUAUAUAUAUAGUGUGCAUGACGAUUGUGUUUAUGAUGUGUUACAUUGUUCCAAGAAUUCGUUCUUUACCUGUCCCCUAUAUAUAUCGAUUAAUAGUUCGUAUGUUUGACUCACUGUGUACGGUGCCAAGUCGAGUGUCUAGUGGUACAUUGUGAUGUUUGUGUUCAGACUUUGACUUGUGUAUGUGAGAUCUUUUGUUCAUGCUUUGACUCGUUUGUUGUCCAAAAUUCAUGAGAUGCUUAGACUUGGAAUGUUUCAGAAUUUGUAGAGCGUUAUGAUGUCUUUAAAUCUCUCUCUCUCUCUCUCUCUCUCUCUCUCUCUAUUCCGUCGUCGUCGUCCGUUCCUCCUUCUUCGCUCCGUCCCCCUCCUCGUCGUCGUCCGUUCCUCCUUCUUCGUCGUCCCCCGCAACCCUCCUUCUCCUCUCCAAGUCUCUUCUCCCGUCUCGUCGUCGCUCCAUCCCUCUUCUUUCUCGUCGUCCGACCCCAAGUCUUUUCUAAUCCUCGUCGUUGAUCUCCGUUCCCUUCUUCUCUCGUCGCUGUCCUCUUCUUCUUUUGUCGUCGCACUACUCCCUUACUCGUCGUCGCACUCUCUAGUCGUUCCCCCGCGUCAUCUUCUUCUCGUCGUCGUUCCAAACCCGUUCUUCUUGUCUCCGCACCCCUCCAAUCUUUCUCUCGUCGUCGUCUUAAACCCCCUUCUUCUUUCCACCUCCUCGUCGUCGUCAAGUCUAAACCCCUCCUCUUAGCGCGCCCCGUAGUCUGCGGAGGCCGGUAGACAGACCACCCAACGCACUCCACACCCCUCCGCGACACCACGACCACCGACCUCUACCACCGCGACCACUGCCGCCACACCUACCUACUACCACCUAAGCCCCUUCCUCUUCUUCUACCACCGCGACCACCUACCUACCCUCCGCUUCCGCGUGGUGGUGCGGCCGGACCGGCACCGCCGCCGGCCCCAACCUCUUCUUACCCACUCCCUCUCUCUCUAUACGAUCCGGGUUUCCCCUAGCUCCGACGCGAUCCCUAAAC